UACGUAGGGUGCGAGCGUUAAUCGGAAUUACUGGGCGUAAAGUGUGCGCAGGCGGCCGAGCAAGUCGAGUGUGAAAGCCCCGAGCUUAACUUGGGAACUGCGCUCGAAACUACUUGGCUAGAGUGUGGCAGAGGGAGGUGGAAUUCCACGUGUAGCGGUGAAAUGCGUAGAGAUGUGGAGGAACACCGAUGGCGAAGGCAGCCUCCUGGGCCAACACUGACGCUCAUGCACGAAAUCGUGGGGAGCAAACAGG
rnacentral:rRNA from 1 species